rnacentral:rRNA from 1 species
AUUGAACGCUGGCGGCAGGCCUAACACAUGCAAGUCGAGCGGAUGAAGGGAGCUUGCUCCUGGAUUCAGCGGCGGACGGGUGAGUAAUGCCUAGGAAUCUGCCUGGUAGUGGGGGAUAACGUCCGGAAACGGGCGCUAAUACCGCAUACGUCCUGAGGGAGAAAGUGGGGGAUCUUCGGACCUCACGCUAUCAGAUGAGCCUAGGUCGGAUUAGCUAGUUGGUGGGGUAAAGGCCUACCAAGGCGACGAUCCGUAACUGGUCUGAGAGGAUGAUCAGUCACACUGGAACUGAGACACGGUCCAUACUCCUACGGGAGGCAGCAGUCGGGAAUAUUGGACAAUGGGCGAAAGCCUGAUCCAGCCAUGCCGCGUGUGUGAAGAAGGUCUUCGGAUUGUAAAGCACUUUAAGUUGGUAGGAAGGGCAGUAAGUUAAUACCUUGCUGUUUUGACGUUACCAACAGAAUAAGCACCGGCUAACUUCGUG